GAUGAAGAACGUAGCGAAAUGCGAUACGUAAUGUGAAUUGCAGAAUUCAGUGAAUCAUCGAGUCUUUGAACGCACAUUGCGCCCUCUGGUAUUCCGGAGGGCAUGCCUGUCCGAGCGUCAUUGCUGCCCUCAAGCACGGCUUGUGUGUUGGGCCCCGCCCCCCGAUCCCGGGGGGCGGGCCCGAAAGGCAGCGGCGGCACCGCGUCCGGUCCUCGAGCGUAUGGGGCUUUGUCACCCGCUCUGUAGGCCCGGCCGGCGCUUGCCGAUCAACCAAACUUUUUUCCGGGUUGACCUCGGAUCAGGUAGGGAUACCCGCUGAACUUAAGCAUAUCAAUAAGCGGAGGA
rnacentral:misc_RNA from 1 species